GAAUUAGUAAACCUGCCCACAGCGCAGGGGAUGGAGGGGAUGCGCCCCAACUCCACCGGCUCCCCAGCACAAGCUCUCUCUCCCAAAGUGCAGCGAACAUCUGUGACUCUAAUGAGGUCAUCAUCGAGGGUGUCCAGAGAGCUGGGCCCUGAGAACCAAACUCGACUGCCUUGGCCCGGACACGGAGAGGUCCUGGGAUGACAAAUAUCAAGUGGGAAAGGACUUUGAAGCUCACCCAGUCCAAACUUCUUAUUCUACAGAUGUC